rnacentral:rRNA from 1 species
AACGAACGCUGGCGGCAGGCUUAACACAUGCAAGUCGAACGCUCGUGGCAACACGGGAGUGGCAGACGGGUGAGUAACGCGUGGGAACCUACCCUUUUCUACGGAAUAACUGAGGGAAACUUCAGCUAAUACCGUAUACGCCCUACGGGGGAAAGAUUUAUCGGAGAAGGAUGGGCCCGCGUCUGAUUAGCUAGUUGGUGGGGUAAAAGCCCACCAAGGCGACGAUCUGUAGCUGGUCUGAGAGGACGACCAGCCACACUGGAACUGAGACACGGUCCAGACUCCUACGGGAGGCAGCAGUGGGGAAUUUUGGACAAUGGGCGCAAGCCUGAUCCAGCAAUGCCGCGUGCAGGAUGAAGGCCCUCGGGUUGUAAACUGCUUUUGUACGGAGCGAAACGGCUCUCUCUAAUACAGGGGGCUAAUGACGGUACCGUAAGAAUAAGCACCGGCUAACUACGUG